rnacentral:misc_RNA from 1 species
UCCAAUGCCUUACUGGGCUCUUGGUAUGUUUCAUUCUUAACUCCCUUCCCCUGUUUAAAUUUAGUAUCUGCUCACUAGUAAUUAUUUUUAUUGAUGGGAGUAACCAUAGCUUACAUAAAAGGACAAAUAGCUUCGUUGGCUUGUUUUACUAGACCAGUGGACAACGGUGCUUUUUUGUUUUUCGCCGUUGUUUAAUUCGAUUUGUUCUGUCGUGUAGAUGAGAUUUUUGAGAAAAUAAUGGAAUGGACCUAUAUGCAAGAAUGGUACUUGCUAAUCAAUUUAUCUGGUGUUAAUUAUAAUACCACUAAUAUGUUAAAGACGAGAGAUGCGCGUGAUUAAAGACGAGAUAGAUAUCAUAAUUAUACAUCAUUGAUAUCAGAUUAGGCACCGAUUGAUCUUUUUCUUUUAUUAUUAUUAUUUUUUCAAAUUGAGGGUGGUGGGGUUGGUCCACAAUUUGUUUUGCUUUAUUGUAACGCUUAAAGUUCCCACCUAUCAACAGAUUUUGCGUUUCUGCAGAAACAACUUUGAGCUCUAAAUGAUCUCUUGAUGGAUGUUUAGUGCUCUAGGUCUGUAUUACAGAUAACGACAUCUUUCUCAGACCAUAUCUCAUUGUUGAGAUUUUUGGCCUAGUUCUGCAAGCAAAAAUCUUGACCAUUUUGUAAAUGUUUUGUGCAAAGCAACUAGGGGACCCAGAGGAGCACCGUUGAUCCAUCGUUGCACUUCAUGCUGUCCAAAAUUUUAUCUUCCCUGCAUCAGGUGGAAAUUAAUCAAUCAAUCCUUAAUUGCUAUCACUAUGCAUUGAUAAGUACUGACCCGGGCCCAUGAACAUUGCCACGGUCAUUACUCACAUAGGUCCCACAUGACGCUAAUAGUAUAUUGGCAUUUUCUUAGGCCUCCAUAGUCUAUAUCAUAUGAUCCUUUGCUUUGAAUCUAUGGCUGCCAUGUACCAUAAGAGAGGGACUAACCUUAGGUUGUGAGGAAUGUAUAUCGUUCUAUUGUGUUCCCUUGCCCUAAUAGCAAUUGUCAUGUCGGUGGAUGAAUGAAACAUGAGGCAAAUAUCCAUGUUGGAUUACAAGACGUACGUAAUAAAUCCAAAUUCCCCACUGCCCUGUAAUCUUUCAUGU